rnacentral:tRNA from 1 species
CCCUGGCCGGCUCAGUUGGUGGAACAUGAGACUCUUGAUCUCAGGAUUGUGAGUUCGAGCCCCACGUUAGGCA